rnacentral:rRNA from 1 species
UGUGGUGACGAUAGUGAGAAGGAUAUACCUGUUCCCAUGUCGAACACAGAAGUCAAGCUUCUUAACGCCGAGAGUAGUUGGG